GACGAACGCUGGCGGCGUGCUUAACACAUGCAAGUCGAACGGAAAGGCCCUGCAUUUGUGGGGUGCACGAGUAACGAAGGGGUGAGUAACACGUACGUACCCUGCCGUUGACUGUGGGAUAACGUCAGGAAACUGGGGCUAAUACAGGCUAGGAGCUCCUGAUCCAUGGUGGGGGAUGGAAAGUUUCGUCGUGUGGGGGUGGUAUCGCUGCUUAAGAGCCUGUGGGUGAGGUAGCGGCUUACCAAGGCUUUGACGGGUAGCCGGCCUGGGAGAGUGACCGGCCACAUUGGGCCUGCGGUAGGGCCCAGAGUGCUACGUGGGGCAGCGGUGGGGAAUAUUGCACAAUGGGCCGGAGCCUGGUGCAGCGACGUCGCGUGCGGGAUCUCGGUCUUCGGGUAGUAAACCGCUUUCGCCUGUGACGAAGCGUGAGUGACGGUAAUGUAUAAAGAAGCACCGGCUAACUACGUG
rnacentral:rRNA from 1 species